UCCAGACUCCUACGGGAGGCAGCAGUGGGGAAUAUUGGGCAAUGGGCGCAAGCCUGACCCAGCGACGCCGCGUGAGGGAAGACGGUCUUCGGAUUGUAAACCUCUUUCAGCAGGGAAGACAAAAGGACGGUACCUGCAGAAGAAGCCACGGCUAACUACGUGCCAGCAGCCGCGGUAAUACGUAGGUGGCAAGCGUUAUCCGGAAUUACUGGGUGUAAAGGGCGUGUAGGCGGGGCUGCAAGUCAGAUGUGAAAAUUAUGGGCUCAACCCAUAACCUGCGUCUGAAACUGUAGCUCUUGAGAGUGGGAGAGGUAAACGGAAUUCCGUGUGUAGCGGUGAAAUGCGUAGAUAUACGGAGGAACACCAGUGGCGAAGGCGGCCUGCUGGACGACAACUGACGGUGAGGCGCGAAAGCGUGGGGAGCAAACAGGAUUAGAUACCCCCGUACG
rnacentral:rRNA from 1 species